GGGUUCAGAGGUGGGUCAAAAGCAGUUGGCUUUUAACCAAUUGGUCGUAGGUUCGAAUCCUACACGACCCACCA
rnacentral:tRNA from 1 species